GUUUUAAUAAUUUAAUAUAAAAUAUUGGUCUUGUAAACCAAAAAUGAAUUUUUCUUAAAACU
rnacentral:tRNA from 1 species